rnacentral:rRNA from 1 species
AUUGAACGCUGGCGGCAGGCCUAACACAUGCAAGUCGAGCGAGCGGCGGACGGGUGAGUAAUGUCUGGGAAACUGCCUGAUGGAGGGGGAUAACUACUGGAAACGGUAGCUAAUACCGCAUACCAUCAGAUGUGCCCAGAUGGGAUUAGCUAGUAGGGGGGGUAACGGCCACCCUAGGCGACGAUCCCUAGCUGGGCUUAGAGGUGGACAAGACACCAUGGAACUGGGACACGGUUCAGAUCCCUACGGGAGGCAUCAGGGGGGAGUAUUGCACAAUGGGCGCAAGCCUGAUGCAGCCAUGCCGCGUGUGUGAAGAAGGCCUUCGGGUUUUAAAGCACUUUCAGCGGGGAGGCGUUACCCGAAGAAGAAGCACCGGCUAACUCCGUGCCAGCCGCCGCGGUAAUUC